rnacentral:rRNA from 1 species
UACGAAGGGUGCAAGCGUUACUCGGAAUUACUGGGCGUAAAGGGUGCGUAGGUGGUUCUUUAAGUCUGCUGUGAAAGCCCCGGGCUCAACCUGGGAAUGGCAGUGGAUACUGGAGAGCUAGAGUGCGGUAGAGGGUAGUGGAAUUCCCGGUGUAGCAGUGAAAUGCGUAGAGAUCGGGAGGAACACCAGUGGCGAAGGCGGCUCUCUGGGACGGUACUGACGCUGAGACGCGAAAGCGUGGGGAGCGAACAGG